GAUGAACGCUAGCGGCAGGCUUAAUACAUGCAAGUCGAGGGGCAGCAUGAUUGUAGCAAUACAAUUGAUGGCGACCGGCAAACGGGUGCGGAACACGUACACAACCUUCCAAUAAGUGGGGAAUAGCCCAGAGAAAUUUGGAUUAAUACCCCGUAACAUGACGAUGUGGCAUCACAUUGUUAUUAUAGAUUUUUCGCUUAUUGAUGGGUGUGCGGCUGAUUAGAUAGUUGGCGGGGUAACGGCCAACCAAGUCUACGAUCAGUAGCUGAUGUGAGAGCAUGAUCAGCCACACGGGCACUGAGACACGGGCCCGACUCCUACGGGAGGCAGCAGUAAGGAAUAUUGGACAAUGGACGCAAGUCUGAUCCAGCCAUGCCGCGUGGAGGAUUAAGGUCCUCUGGAUUGUAAACUUCUUUUAUAAGGGACGAAAAAAGGCUUUUCUAAGUCGUCUGACGGUACCUUAUGAAUAAGCACCGGCUAACUCCGUGCCAGCAGCCGCAGUAAAAC
rnacentral:rRNA from 1 species